rnacentral:rRNA from 1 species
CCUACGGGAGGCUGCAGUGGGGAAUAUUGCACAAUGGGCGCAAGCCUGAUGCAGCCAUGCCGCGUGAAUGAAGAAGGACUUCGGGUUGUAAAGUACUAUCAGCGGGGAGGAAGGGAGUAACGUUAAUACCUUAGCUGAUUGACGUUACCCGCAGAAGAAGCACCGGCUAACUCGUGGCCAGCAGCCGCGGUAAUACGGAGGGGGCAAGCGUUAAUCGGAAUUACUGGGCGUAAGGCGCACGCAGGCGGUUUGUUAAGUCAGAUGUGAAAUCCCCGGGCUCAACCUGGGAACUGCAUCUGAUACUGGCAAGCUUGAGUGUCGUAGAGGGGGGUAGAAUUCCAGGUGUAGCGGUGAAAUGCGUAGAGAUCUGGAGGAAUACCGGUGGCGAAGGCGGCCUCCUGGACGAAGACUGACGCUCAGGUGCGAAAGCGUGGGGAGCAAACAGGAUUAGAUACCCGAGUAGUC